rnacentral:rRNA from 1 species
UACGGAGGGUGCAAGCGUUAUCCGGAUUCACUGGGUUUAAAGGGUGCGUAGGUGGGUUGGUAAGUCAGUGGUGAAAUCUCCGUGCUUAACAUGGAAACUGCCAUUGAUACUACUGAUCUUGAAUUUUCUGGAGGUAAGCGGAAUAUGUCAUGUAGCGGUGAAAUGCUUAGAUAUGACAUAGAACACCGAUUGCGAAGGCAGCUGACUACAGGGACAUUGACACUGAGGCUCGAAAGCGUGGGGAUCAAACAGG